rnacentral:rRNA from 1 species
CCUANGGGGGGCAGCAGUGAGGAAUCUUCCGCAAUGGGCGAAAGCCUGACGGAGCGACACCGCGUGGAGGACGAAGGCCUUUUGGUUGUAAACUCCUUUUCUGGGGGAAUAAAUGAUGAAUGUACCCCAGGAAUAAGCACCGGCUAACUACGUACCAGCAGCCGCGGUAAUACGUAGGGUGCAAGCGUUAUCCGGAAUUAUUGGGCGUAAAGAGUUCGUAGGUGGUACACCAAGUUUGUAGUUAAAUAUGGUCGCUCAACGAUCAAAUCGCUACGAAAACUAGUGUGCUGGAGAGUGGCAGAGGUAACUGGAAUUCCACAGGUAGGAGUAAAAUCCGUUGAUAUGUGGAGGAACACCAAAAGCGAAGGCAGGUUACUGGGCCAUUUCUGACACUGAGGAACGAAAGCGUGGGGAGCAAACAGGAUUAGAUACCCGUNUAGUC